AUUGAACGCUGGCGGCAGGCCUAACACAUGCAAGUCGAACGAGUGGCGGACGGGUGAGUAAUGUCUGGGAAACUGCCUGAUGGAGGGGGAUAACUACUGGAAACGGUAGCUAAUACCGCAUACCAUCGGAUGUGCCCAGAUGGGAUUAGCUAGUAGGUGGGGUAAAGGAUCACCUCGGCGACGAUCCCUAGCUGGUUUGAGAGGAUGAACAGCCACACUGGAACUGAGACACUGUCCCGCCUCCUACGGGAGGCAGCAGUGGGGAAUAUUGCACAAUGGGCGCAAGCCUGAUGCAGCCAUGCCGAGUGUAUGAACAAGGCCUUCGGUUUGUAAAGUACUUUCAGCGGGGAGGCGUUACCCGCAGAAGAAGCACCGGCUAACUCCGUGCCAGCAGCCGCGGUAAUUC
rnacentral:rRNA from 1 species